GUCAUAUCGUUGUUGUUCCUUUGGUGUUAUAAAUCUGCUGAUCAUCAAUAUCGCAGCGAUAAAAACCGAUCAUCUUCGCUCUGCAACAACCUAUGAGCAAUGCAUCGUCAACCCACCGAAGCUUCUUCUGCACGCUGUUGCAGGACUGUAGGAAACCAUUGCAAAUGCGCUGAGAUUGCCCUGCUAAACAGCAAACAAAUUCAAAUGCUAACCAAAAUCGUCGUUGACAUUAAAAUGCAAAACGACGAGAUUAUUGAGUGGCUGCUUCAACGCGACCAAAAUCCAGUUCCGCAAGAAACGCCCGAAAUGAUACAGCCAACGCAAGAAAAUGAGGAAAUUAUUACGUUAAUUGCAUCUAAAAAGGAGUUAAUUGAUUUCGAGCAGAAUCUAGGCUUAGAGGAUCAGUUUGAGGACGUGAAGCGUAAAUUGCAGGCCAAAAUGAAGGCCACAGCGACAAUGGAGCGACUUCACGAGGCUUUGUACCUUAUGUUCAAUAGAUUGUUUUUGGUUGAAUGUAGCUGGAGCGGUAGAGGAGUUACUGGGCCGAAAAUACCCUUUCGACGAUAUGUAAAUGUAUUGCGGCUUUUUGCUGACGUAGGGAAUGUAGAUGGCCAAAAAGUAGAUUUUGCAUCCCUUGAGAAUUUUUUUCAAAAAAAGCUUCGAAAUGCAAAAAACAGUGCCAUUGUAUCCGGCACAAUAAAAAGCGUUUCUCGUAGCUCGUUCUCACGGAAGUGCAAAGGACGUCCUAAAAAAAAAAUGAAUUAGAUAGGGCAUCAUCCAUUAAUUAUGUAACACAAAAAAUGCAAAAUUUAAACCCCCUCCCUCUAACAAUAGUUUUUUUUUGUUGAAUGAAUUCAGUUUUUGUUGUGAUAUGAACUGUAUUGAGGGGCAUUCACAUUUUUUGAAUCGAAAAAAGCUUUGAUUAUAUUACAUUUUACAUAAGGAAAACUGUCGCAUACAGCAAUCAAGUUCAAAAAGAUUCUGUUAAUCGUAUGCUCAGCGUCGUUUGCAAUAUUCUUGCAUUACCAUCAUCAAAAGCGUAUUUCUUACGGCUAUCUUCCUGGUCCUCCAUAAAUAUGUUAAUCAAUCCAUAUUUUUUUCUUAGGCUUUAAAUAUUGUAUCAUCAUUAAAUUGAUUCUAUUUCACAUAACAUGCGAUGAUUAAUAUAUUACGCAUGUCUAAAAAAUACAAACAAAAUUGGUACUAUUUGCAGGAAGACAGCUUUUUCGAUGUAUGUAUCCAUAGAAUUACGACCAAUGAAAAAAGGGCUAACUGCAUUAACUCCAUCUCCAGUAUGGUUUAAAGGAAUUGGAUUCCUGUAUGCAGCUUUUCAGUUGAAUCUGGUGCCAUUUGUUUCGAAUCGCGUAUCGUCACCUGCGUAUGCCACUAUCAUCGAAUGCGUGCCUUUGCAAUCGAAUAAGUGCCACUGCGCUCUUCUCAGUAACGGAAUGCAACGUUACUGCGACGAUCCUUUCGAAAGUUUUUUUCGCUACACGACGGACGUGGUGAUUGACUAAAACCGGAUAUAAUUUGCAUAUUCACUUCACUUAUGCACACUUGCUCAUCAGUCCAAAAUUUAACACGCGCAAAGAUUCGGCUAGCAUUUGAAGCAUUCUGUAGCUUCAAAACACACAGCUGAAACACGAGCACUAUUCAAAUACGACCAAGCAAAUUGUUGGGAACACUACGUUGAGAAAAAGGUGCUUAAAGAGCAGAUUGACCGUAUGUCUGAAACGUUCUUUCUAGAAACCUUGUCAAUGUCGAUCUUACAAUGAUAUUUAUACGGAAGUUUCUUGAACUUUGCAACGGAUUUGUCAUGUCAACUAAAUAGCAUCGAGCGAUCCAGCCUGUAAAGCUCUGUUCGGUUGUCCAUAAAACAUAGUGUAGUGGCAAUAGAGAUAGGGUUGAAAGCGGUCACACUUGGGUAACAUAUUGGAUUUGAAGAAUCCAGACGCCCGAUUGUUGAUUCGUACGCGUGUUUUAAGCUGUAGAAUGCUUGUAUUAGUAGGAUCUUUGCGUGAGUUAAAUUUUGCUUUAGUAUAGGGAUUUAACGCUCUAAAAGGAUAAAAUUGAAUCCUAAAACAAAAAAGGUAUUAAAAUUAGCGUAGCCUUACCAUAAGCAAAUACUUCGUUCGAUUCACUCGGUAUCGCUACCGCUCGAUGUCGACAACAAGAGCAGGUUUCUUUACUUCGGAGCUCUCAAAGAGCUUGUCAGGAUUAGAUCGCUGUCGGGAUAUUACAAAAAAAUCACAAUUAAUGAAUAACUUGUACAGAACAGUAAUAGUAACAUGCACACUUGACUCAUACUUACUUGCUUACUUUUGUACUUUUGAGGUCUACAAGAGCACAAUGAAACGCUUUCAAUUUAGCGUCAACGUGUGUCAUACCAAACGGGACUCACAUAGCCUGAAAAUGUAUUUACAUAAAUUGUGUGCUUAGGAUGGUCCCAGAUUGUACCUACCUGAGGAUGUUUUUUUUAGUACAGCAAGCAAAGCCAUUUGUCGUGGUCGUCCUGCUGUACAUGAGGGUUGUGCUCUUGCGACCCAACCAUUCGUUAAAAUCACCAAGCAAGCUGGUUUUUUUUAAUUAAAUCAAUGAACUAAUGUAGUUUCGACCAUAUACUAUGGUCAUAAUAUUCCUGGUCGUCCAAAAUUUGGGAAGUUGGAGAAAAUGAGAUCAAAACGGUAUGCGAUAAACACGCGUUGUAAAAACUGCAUUCCCGGAACGCUCAGUCCCAGAAGAGGGAGAUCGUGCUACGAAUGCGCCAGAGAUGGCAGUAGAAAACGUCUACACUUAAAAAAGGAUAAAAAGGGAUUUAAAAACCUCACACUGCAUCAACCGUUGCCUAGAGCACGCUGCAGAAGCUCCGAAUGUGCGACUAUCCCUGGACAGGGUUAAUGGACCAGUACGAUAUAGCUGGUUUUGGAUAUGGAAUAGCGUGCGGUAUUUUCGGCAGUUCAACUUACCUCUAUAAAGUUAUAAGCAAAAUCAUUUCAAAAUACCUACAACACAUUACUGUGAAAGCAACAACAACAAAAAUGAAUGCACAAACACAACACUUACGUUACGACAAUACGCGUUUGGUAAUACUUUUUUAAUUAAAUACUAGGCGCCCUUUAUUAUCCAACCGUCUGCGAGCUACUUAAACGCACCUAUCAAACGGGUCUACUGCUAUAUCUGCAACCACCGACAGGGCGUGGGAGGUGGAUGGAGAGAGGACAGCGGGUAGGAGGAGACGACGAUAAUACCACUAAACCGUUGCGUCUUGCCGCAUUGGCUAGACCGACUGUAUGCUGCUGGCUGCCCGAAACUACCUAUCAACUACUUCCUUCCUCCCGAUACACGGAAACCAGAAGGGGAUUUUGUCGUCCCCGUACCACAUUCAACGCGCGCGUGUGUGUGUGUGUUUGCGCACGAGCACGUGCGUCAAAAACAAAGAGAUCGCAACAAAUUUUAACUGUUUUUCUUCCUCACCCUUCCCUACCUGGUCAUCUCUUAUACUUUAUAAGUCAGGCGUGUGUGUGUGUGUGUCGCUCUAUUUUUUCUCUGUUCUUUUAUACGUCUAAUUGAUUCUUUCUAUAAUAUAUAUUUAAAAAAAAACGUUACGCGACUUACUCUAAAUGUACAUCAAUGGGGGUCCAACAUUUUUCCAGCCAGUCUCCGUGCUUUGUUUCUUUUAUGUACGCUGGGACUGCGUGUGUCAUUGCAUCUUUUUUUUUUAAAUCAUCAAACGUGUUAUGUUCAGUCGGACCCAUCGUUUCAUAUUUUUCCAUAUUCUUUAACACUUGCAUCUCCCCCCUUUAGUUGCCCUGUUUUUUCUCCACCUGACGGUACAAACUCCAUUACAAGAAUUACAAAUAUCUUUUAACACACACACACACAUACUAA